rfam:Vitis vinifera, whole genome shotgun sequence of line PN40024, unoriented chromosome 13, chr13
AACUGGUCGGGAGUUGGAGCCGUUCCCCUGAUGAGUCCAUGGCAGGACGAAACCAGUC